GACGAACGCUGGCGGCAUGCCUAAUACAUGCAAGUCGAGCGAACAGAUGAAGUGCUUGCACUUCUGACGUUAGCGGCGAACGGGUGAGUAACACGUAAGGAAUCUACCUAUAAGCGGGGGAUAACAUUCGGAAACGGGUGCUAAUACCGCAUAAUAUCUUCUUCCGCAUGGAAGGAGAUUGAAAGACGGCUCUGCUGUCACCUAUAGAUGACCUUGCGGUGCAUUAGUUAGUUGGUGGGGUAAUGGCCUACCAAGACGAUGAUGCAUAGCCGACCUGAGAGGGUGAGCGGCCACAUUGGGACUGAGACACGGCCCAAACUCCUACGGGAGGCAGCAGUAGGGAAUCUUCCGCAAUGGGCGAAAGCCUGACGGAGCAAUGCCGCGUGAGUGAAGAAGGCCUUCGGGUCGUAAAACUCUGUUAUAAGAGAAGAACAAAUUGUAGAGUAACUGCUACAGUCUUGACGGUAUCUUAUCAGAAAGCCACGGCUAACUACGUGCCAGCCGCCGCGGUAG
rnacentral:rRNA from 1 species